rnacentral:misc_RNA from 1 species
CAUGGUUGAAGAGUCGGAUACAUUUUUAGUGUUAUCUUCCUCAAUGCUCUUGGUAAUAGCACUAUGGCGGUGAAUUUCCAGUUCUAGAUCACUUUUCUGAGAGUUUUCUUUAGAUAUCCUUGUAUUCAACUGAGGUAGUUCAGAAGACUGUAUAUCAGAAAAGGGUUUCCAUUUAUUUCCGGAGUCCCUUUCAGACAAAUCAGCUACUGACCCAACCUCAAAUGUG